UUUUUUUUUGCUCGUACUAGCAGAGCAAAAAUGGCGUAGGAGCGAAGGGUGAAGGAAGGAGAGGACCUUCUUCUCUCCCCCUUGCCGUGUCCAGGAGAGGAGAGAAGAGGGUCCGCAACUUUGAAGUUUUCCUACAAAAUUGUCGAGUCGUCUUAUGAAAAUAAAGCUGGCAGUCCUGCAGGUGAAGAGGACUCUUAAUAAUGUGUCACCGCAGAGGAAGGAUCCCCCCGGCUUUUGUUUACCAUUGUGUGCGGCAGCAGCUCAGAGGAACAGAGGAAAUAUUUCUACAUCAUUUUACACUGAGGUAGAGAGAUGGAGCCUGUCCAGGGAGAAGACCCAGAACCUCCACUUCUGCCGAGCCCAAGAGAACUGUAGCUAAGCUAACCUUCUUUAUGGGUUGCUUUCUGGGACACUGGAUAUCUCUCUCUCUUCCACAGCAUUCCCAUUUGUCCUGACCUCUUUCUGCAGCCUAAUCACCAGUGAGGAUUGCUCGCAACAUUUCAGAUUUACAAAGAUUUAAAGUCGUCCAACCUCGGAGAUGAAAACUAUGACAUAAAGCCUGGUGUAAUGACACCUGUUUAAUUUGCUUAAAGAAACGGGUGAAAUCUAGGUGAUGCUUAUGAAAACAGAGUUGCUUUUCAACCGCACAAGAGGUUUGGUAAUGAGCAAACUGUAUGUGUUUUUUUUUCUCGAAGAAAGUAAAGACACAACAUACUGUAGCAAAGAUCAAACGCCUGUGAUACAAAUUAAGAUUCGUUGAUUCAUUUUCCUUUCUUUUCAACUACCUCAUUGCCACAGUAAGUCCAAGGGGAUUGAGAGGAGCGUUUUCUGAACAAAGCAUGGCGUUACGGAGCACCACAGCAGUCAUCUUUGUCUGUCCAUCAAUGUUUCAGUAUUGACAUAUCAGGUAGUUGGCAGAAGAGCAGAAGGUAAAUAUGCUGUUGCUUAUAUUCAGCAUUAGUUUUGUUAGGAGGAUUCCUUAAACGUCUUGCCUAGGCAUGAGCUGGUAUGUUUUUAUAGACGGCACAGUAUUGCUAUAAAAAUCUGAAACCAAAGUGGGUAUUAUGUGACAACUGCUUUUAUUUUACCAGAAAUACUUAGGUCGCUGAAAAUAUACAGCUAAAUUUGGACUCCUAAUAAACAUUGGGAAAAGCCCCUGCCAGUUUACAGUGUGCAGCAAUGUGUGGGGGAGGGGUGUGGCUAGAAAUCUCUGUUUAGAGCUCUUUUUCUGGCAUCUCAUUAAAAGCAUUUUAGUGGUUU